UACGGAGGGUGCAAACGUUGUUCGGAAUUACUGGGCGUAAAGCGCAUGUAGGCGGAUAUGGAAGUCAGAUGUGAAAGCCCUUGGCUCAACCAAGGAAGUGCAUCUGAAACCACAUAUCUUGAGUAUGACAGAGGGAAGUGGAAUUUCCAGUGUAGAGGUGAAAUUCAUAGAUAUUGGAAAGAACACCGGUGGCGAAGGCGGCUUUCUGGGUCAUUACUGACGCUGAGAUGCGAAAGCGUGGGGAGCAAACAGGAUUAGAUACCCCUGUA
rnacentral:rRNA from 1 species